CCGCGCGCAGUGCAGAAAACCGCGCCCUGCGCGCGGUGAUUCGCUCUCGCGCGGAGCUGGCAGAAAAAAAAAAAAAAAUUUCCCGCCGACGUCCUCGGGCCCGUGCGUGAAUCACCGCGCGCGCGGUGCGCGGCUUUCUGCACCGCACGCGGUGCACAAAGAAUUGCUCUUCUUAAUUUCUUUCUAAGCUCGAACAAUAAAGUCCCGGAAAUUCUUACAUACGCAUCAGCCCCAACCGCAGGAGAACCAAUGCAUAUGCCAUGUCCAGGAGCAAGGUCUAAGCGAUACUUAAGCAGCAAAAUCCUAAUCUAUCAUUGCUUGUCUGGGACACUCAGAGGUCGUCAAGUUUCACUACUGUAAUUGAAUGGUAUGAUAUUUUGUAUCUUCUGUCAAGGUUUGAAGAACCAAUCAUGCUGCAGAAAAUUCCAUCCUGUACCGAGACAUACCGAGACUUUGAGCAAGGUGGAGCUCUAUUACUAUAACUAGUAGAAUUUCAGCUUCAUCUGCAACAAGCUCAGUAUAUGGAAGACCCCUGUUAAAAAGUAAGAAUACCUUAACUUUUAGAAAUGAAGCAGUCCUGUGAUCAAUUUAGAGGAGGGAGGACUGGUUCUGGUCUUUUAUCGGAAAGCUACGCAUGGGUUGAUCUUUCAAUUUAUUGAUGCCAGACUAAAUUUUCAACAAAUAAGCAUAGACUAAAUUUAUUGUACUUAUUUGAUAAUUGGUCCUUGCUUUUCUGUAUAUUUUCUACAAAUUUCAAAUCUUACAAUAUUUCUUUGAGUCUAGCCAAGUGAAGCCUAACUUGUUCAAUCUGAUGAUUAUCUAAAAUUAUUUUGCAAGUGGUAAUUCCAGGUUCUGAGUGUCAGCAGAAACCUCCUUCUGUGAAGCUUCUCCUUUGAAAGUGGGUUAAACUGGAUAAGCAGAGAUUUUCAGAUCAUGCACAUGAACGUGAACAUGCAUGUGCAUGCAUACACACAAAGAGAUACACAUGCAAAUGCAUACCCAUGCACAUGCACAUGACUGGAGGCCGGAGAUGUGGUUGGAACCUUUUCAUUAUUGUUUCUACUCUGACAUUUUUUCUCUGUUUUUCUUUAUUUCAUACCUCAUUGAACUGAAUGAUGCUUGCAUGCAAUUUUGUAAGAAUUAAUUUUCAGAGUUUUUAAGUAGAGAAGUACCUUAUGCAUAUUGUAUUGUUAACUAAAUCCAUUAAGUUGUAAAAUGAUGAUUACUUCAAUUUAGAGAAUGCUACGAAGCUUGGGGAUGCAAUUUUUUGUGUGAUUGAAUUGCAUGACUCAAACAAGCUUUUCAAGGGAAAAAGGUUUGAAAUGAAAGACUCUAGCUACAUCCUGCUAAAAUUGAAUGAACCAAAUGGAUUGUAUGAACAACUUGACGUAAAACAAAGUGUCAUUACUCAGUAAUGUUGGUAUUGUUAUUAGUUAUCCUUUUUAUCCCUUUAAAGGAAAACUCUGCUCUGUAAGUGUUAAGCUACUCUGUCUUCUUCAGUGGACAAUGGACAAUUGAAAUCCAGGGAAGUAUAAGAAACUGAUUUCUCUGCGACACAAAUGUUGG